rnacentral:rRNA from 1 species
CAAGACAACUUUACGGAGUUGACGAUUGACGGAGCGAAGCGACGUCAAAGCGUUCAUUAAAGUCGAGUUGGCUUAGGGAUACGUUCGUUGGGUAGGGGAGCGUUCUGUAAGCCUGUGAAGGUGUGUCGUGAGGCAUGCUGGAGGUAUCAGAAGUGCGAAUGCUGACAUAAGUAACGAUAAAGCGGGUGAAAAGCCCGCUCGCCGGAAGACCAAGGGUUCCUGUCCAACGUUAAUCGGGGCAGGGUGAGUCGACCCCUAAGGCGAGGCCGAAAGGCGUAGUCGAUGGGAAACGGGUUAAUAUUCCCGUACUUGGUGUUACUGCGAAGGGGGGACGGAGAAGGCUAUGUUGGCCGGGCGACGGUUGUCCCGGUUUAAGCGUGUAGGUGUGUGUUCCAGGUAAAUCCGGUUCACUUUAACACUGAGGCGUGACGACGAGGCACUACGGUGCUGAAGCAACAAAUGCCCUGCUUCCAGGAAAAGCCUCUAAGCAUCAGGUAACACGAAAUCGUACCCCAAACCGACACAGGUGGUCAGGUAGAGAAUACCAAGGCGCUUGAGAGAACUCGGGUGAAGGAACUAGGCAAA